ACGGCCCCGGUAUCUUGACCGNGCAAAGGNAGCAUAAUCAAUUGUUUUAUAAUUGAAGACUGGAAUGAAUGGUUGAAUGAAAUAUUAGCUGUCUUAUUUGUAUUUAUUAGAAUUUAGCUUUUAGAUGAAGAGAUUUAGAUGUAAUUGAUAGACAAGAAGACCCUGUUGAGCUUUAAAUAAUUUUAGAGAUGUAUUUUAUUAUAUUAAAUAAAUAAAUUUUAGAUUUUUUUUGGUUGGGGCGACUGAGGAAUAAUAAAAGCUUCCUUUAGCUUAGAUAGAUUGUUCGAUUUUGAUCCAAUAUUAUUGAUUAAAAAAAAUAGUUACCNCAGGGAUAA
rnacentral:rRNA from 1 species